AUUCACCUCGCGGCCACAGGAGCUCAGCGCCGGCGCCGCGCCGCCCAGCCCCGCCGAGAGGGGCGCACUCGCCGCCGCGGGGCCCGCCGCCGCUCACCGCAGCCCCCUCCUGGCGACCCGCAAGUGAUGCUGUGAUUGUUGCCUGCGGACUGGGAAGCACGAUGGCUCCAAAAGGCCAGCGGGGCCGAGAAGCAGGGACAGAGACCAGCAUUUAAGGGAUCUCUGGUGGGGGCCUCCCUGGAGUUCUCCACAUGUAAAUAUAGCGAAAAAAGAAAACACUACGUUACUAGAAUAAACACGUCCUAAAAUUUCUGUGCAAAAACACCUUUUUGAACAGCAAAGAUUUCACCCACCAAAACAAGGAAGCAAGAAGCUUCCACAGUGUGCAGGAUCCGAAACAGGACCGGCCCGGCGUUGGGUGAGAGUGGGGGAGGGGUUGUCGGCUUCUCCAUCCAGCUUGCCAUGUUCUGUCGUCGGUUUCACAUUUUCAGAGAGACUUUACCAGAUGCAGGAAAUGAGGAUGAAGGCAACUCUGGAAGGAUGCAAAGAAGGGAGAGCAAGCACUGUACCUACUGUCUGCUGUCUAAGAGGGCUGGUCUCAUAACUAAAAGGUCCAGUCCCUGAGAUCUUGUGUGCAACCGUCAGAAAUAGUUCAGGACAUCAAAUUGCACAGAGAAGAUUCAGAUGAAGGGAAACAAGAACUCUGUGGAAAACUGUUGGGGACAGUGGCACGAGUUGUCUUGCAAGGUGAUGUCUGUCCCGUGGAGGGACACAAGAGCG
rnacentral:lncRNA from 1 species